UACGGAGGAUCCAAGCGUUGUUCGGAUUUAUUGGGUUUAAAGGGCGCGUAGGCGGAUAAUUAAGUCAGGGGUGAAAUCUUGCGGCUCAACCGUAAAAUUGCCAUUGAAACUGAUUAUCUUGAGUACAGUUGAGGUGGGCGGAAUGUAUCAUGUAGCGGUGAAAUGCUUAGAUAUGAUACAGAACACCUAUUGCGAAAGCAGCUCACUAAACUGCAACUGACGCUGAGGCACGAAAGCGUGGGGAUCAAACAGG
rnacentral:rRNA from 1 species